ncrna:unclassified sequences manA RNA
UGUUGGACGCAACAUGGGAGUGACUGAAUAAACUUACUGGCAACCGCUGGUUAAGGUGAUGAGACACAGGUGGUGCUGCUGCUCGCAAGGGUAGAACCGAUCAACCAAUCGGGUCUCAGGCUGUAACGUAUUUACUUACUGUAGUAAUGCCCGUUACUUGUUGGUAUACAGGAACCCAACCUCCCUCCUU